rnacentral:rRNA from 1 species
GUCGCUACUACCGAUUGAAUGGCUCAGUGAGGCCUUCGGACUGGCUCAGGGAGGUCGGCAACGACCACCCAGAGCCGGAAAGUUCGUCAAACUUGGUCAUUUAGAGGAAGUAA